GAAUAUAGUGUAAUGGGGAAACGCAUAAAGUUUUGAUCUCUUAUGAAUAGGUUCAAUUCCUAUUUUUUCA
rnacentral:tRNA from 1 species